UACGGAGGGUGCGAGCGUUAUCCGGAAUUACUGGGUUUAAAGGGUGCGUAGGCGGCUAUGUAAGUCAGGAGUGAAAGUUUGCGGCUCAACCGUAAAAUUGCUUUUGAUACUGCAUGGCUAGAAUUAGGAUGAGGUCAGCGGAAUGUGGCGUGUAGCGGUGAAAUGCAUAGAUAUGACAUAGAACACCAAUUGCGUAGGCAGCUUACUACACGAUCAUUGACGCUGAGGCACGAAAGCGUGGGGAGCAAACAGG
rnacentral:rRNA from 1 species